AACAGUAAGAGUUUAUGUGCUGCUAGAAAGAAGCUCAGCAUGUAGAGUCUUACAGUGCA
rnacentral:pre_miRNA from 1 species